AUCAUUUCUGAUUUCUUUUCGCUAACAUUCAAAACAGUGAAAUAUGCCACACUACGAACCGGGUGACGGCAGAAUUAAGAACCCAAUUUCUAACAGUAUACGUAUGUGCGAGACAAAUGAAGGCGCGCUUAGAGUGGCAUCGGCAGGAGUAGUUGCCAUUGCCGUAGUGACUGCGCCAGUGUGGAUUUUACCCUACGGAUUUAUAAAGCUUGUCGAAUUAGCCAUACGACAUUAGAUAUAAUGUGUGAUUAUUGGCAGCAUAUUCGAGAAUUGUUCCCGCUAUUGACAUUGUGAAGCAUACCACUAUACUAGCCUAUUUUCAAGACUCCAAGCAGUUUUCAAGUUUACUAAUGUUAUGAACUUAGCAACCUCGAUGACUAGCCUUCCAGUUUUAAAUCACAAACUAAGUUAUAUUAGUACCACAUUACUAAUACGAGGAUUAUUAUUUUUUCGGCAAUACUUCUCUUAAUUAAAUCAUUAUUUUUUAGUAAAAUUAAGCUUCUAGAAUAUACGCCACUUUCACAUGUCUCGUUUUUUACACAUUAACCAGCGUAUUUUUGUGUUGUUUUCGCAAUUAACGUCAUUUAAGUGCUUCAUUUGAAGCAAUAAACUUGUUAACACAGUAAACC